rnacentral:misc_RNA from 1 species
CUCAAAAGCAUAAUAACUAUAUUUAUUAACCUACUACUACCCUCUUACAUCUGACAUAAACAUUAGCCAACAAUUUAUAAACACUCCCAUAACACUAAUAGACUUUUAUCUCUAAUAUCCCUAACUCCACCAAAGAAGGCAUAUGACAAAAUCCUAAGAGAGGUUUGAUGGUGGGUUCCAUGAUAUAAAAGAGUAUAUAUUAGGUGAAUAUUGCUUGCAUUCAGG